CUUUUAACAAAAUCAAUAUAUAUUCAUGUAUAUAUUACAAGUUGGCAGUUCUAAUGUUGUUGAAAUUAGAUAAAUUAGAAGUAGACAUUUCUCUAUUUACACACCUUUCAUUCCAAAUUCACGAUCAAAAAUCCAACAUCAAAACACGCUCUUCCACAUCAUAAACCUCUCACACAAAACAUUUCCUUACACACAAGUUGUUUACGAGUUUCAAGUGGUCGCGUCACAAGACUCCCUCCAUGAGUAAAAACUACGCAGUAACGUGAAAAGAGCAAGCAUGGACGUUCACCCACGCGCGUGGUAUUUAUUACGAAAAAAAAAACACAGUGUACCGAGUUACGCGUGGACACUCAUUCUCAGAGUUUGUCUUCGUCGGAGUGCUCGGGACAGAAGGAUGAAAAGAAAAAGGGACGAGGCAAAAAGGCAGGAAAACAGCGUGGAACAAUAACGGUGCACGUUUAUCCUCGGACGACAGAGCACGCGAUGGAUUCCUUUGUAAGUGGACGUCCCCCACCAUCUUGGAAAGCCACUUAAACGCGCCUGCGCAGUUGCAACAUAUGCGUGCACAUAACCAUGGGGAACAUGGACAUCUGCGCGGGAACAGCUGCAAUUGGCGAACGAUCAGCCCGGAUGCAAGGCAUUCCUUGUGACUAAUCGAAUUUCGGUAUGUUUUUGUAAUUACGAGUGGAGAACAGACGGUGAUAUAUAUACCAUGUUAUGUAGAAAAUGUUGAUAUAUUUGUGAAGCGUUUUUUUUGAAGAGUCCAUUCUUGACAAAUAUAAAAGUUGGCUUCUCUAUAGAUAAUUCAAAUUUGAAGUCCAAUAAUAAACUUUACAUGUUCCAAGUCUUUGAUUUCACCUCCAUCCAUUGCAUCGUUCCGAAUUAAAACAAUUUCCAUUGAACAAAUCAAAAGAAAAGGAAAACCAAGUACUCCAAAGUAGCCGAUCUCGAAAGCGAGAAUUAACGAGCGAUCUUGAAAUCGUGAGGGUUGUCUUAAUUAGAUCGCGACUCCGUCUUCGUCGGUGUUCUUUUUCAAACUCGAGGGCACACGCUGUUGGAAAUCGUUGAAACGAUGCAGAAAUAACGAGAACCGGAAAGGAGAGAAAGAGAAAGAAAGAGAAAGAGGAGUUUGAAGUGCAUGGUGGGCCCUCGACCGAUCAAAGCAGAUUCGCAAAGUUGGCCCAAAGAACAAGGAAUACCGAGUGGCUCUCCUCUCGUCGAAUGUAUCAACGAUCAAAGGGUUAAUACGCGUUGGAAAUUCCUUUUUUUCCGUUGUCGAAAAGAUUAAUGAAGCUGUUUUGCAAAAUUUUGAUGAUCGAGGAAGAAAAUUAAAAAA